rnacentral:rRNA from 1 species
CACCAGCGCCACGAGUGGCAAUCAGCAUUACAGGGCCUAAAGCGUCCGUAGCCGGUCCGGAAAAUUCCUUGUGAAAUCGUCGGGCUCAACCUGACGGCGUGCAGGGGACACUACCGGACUUGAGACCGGAGAGGGGUCAGAGGAAUUAGGGGGGGAGCGGUAAAAUGCAAUAAUCCUCCUAAGACCACCUGUGGCGAAGGCGUCUGACCAGAACGGAUCUGACGGUGAGGGACGAAAGCCAGGGGAGCGA